AGGAUUAAGCAACAAGAAUGUUUUAUAAGACUGAUUUUUAAGAAGAAGUAAUUGUGCACAAAAGUAAAUAUUGAAUCAUGGCAGCCCGUUAGCAACGAUUUAAAAAUGAAUUGCAAAUCUAAUUUUCCAUUCUUGUUAUGAUUGUAACUUUGUCUUUACUAAGUCCCUCGAUUUGAAUUAUGAAAUAUGUCUGAACUGUUGAAUAUUCAGAUUAUAAUCUGAUUUUGCUAAACUGUUUUCUCUCUUUUGUAAAUUAAGAAACCAGUAACUAUAAGGCUUUGUUAUAUCAAUGGGUUUGUUCCAUUCCACAAAUUUAAUGUACAGGGUCACUCGGAAUAUAAUGUGUAGUGAAAGAAUCUCAUUAGGCUAAAAUGAAUGUAAAAUGUGUCAAUUUGAUCCAAAUGAGAACUGUAGUAAAACCAUGUUUG
rnacentral:lncRNA from 1 species